rnacentral:lncRNA from 1 species
AGCUUACGUGACUUAGCAAGCACACAUAAGGAAAAAACCCAGGGACCAGUUUGAACCAGGAACCUCUGGAAAGAAAUGAGUCCUAAAUGGAUGGUAACAUUUCCCUCUUGUAUUGGGAACACUUAUUUGAGAGGAGUGAAGGAAUUAAAAAGGCCUCUGCACAUUUCUUAUGAAUUCUUGCUAAAAAAUAAAAAUCAAAGAAAUCUUUCAUGUUUUCUUUUAAUUUAGCCUCAAUGGAAAAUAGCUAAGGUAAAAAGGACAUCUUGGGGGUUCUCCAAAUACAAAAUUAUUUCUACCUGGGUUUAGGAUCAAUAGAAUGACAUUUUAUAGAGAUCACAAA